rnacentral:rRNA from 1 species
GACAGAGGUGCCGAGCGUUAGGCGGAAUCACUGGGCUUAAAGCGUGUGUAGGCGGAUCGUUAAGCACCUUGUGAAAUCCCACGGCUUAACCGUGGAACUGCUUGGUAUACUGGCGAUCUUGAGCCACCUAGGGGCAACCGGAACAAAUGGUGGAGCGGUGAAAUGCGUAGAUAUCAUUUGGAACGCCAAUGGUGAAAACAGGUUGCUGGGGGUGUGCUGACGCUGAGACACGAAAGCCAGGGGAGCGAACGGG